rnacentral:rRNA from 1 species
GAUGAACGCUGGCGGCGUGCCUAAUACAUGCAAGUCGAGCGAACAGACGAGGAGCUUGCUCCUCUGACGUUAGCGGCGGACGGGUGAGUAACACGUGGAUAACCUACCUAUAAGACUGGGAUAACUUCGGGAAACCGGAGCUAAUACCGGAUAAUAUAUUGAACCGCAUGGUUCAAUAGUGAAAGACGGUUUUGCUGUCACUUAUAGAUGGAUCCGCGCCGCAUUAGCUAGUUGGUAAGGUAACGGCUUACCAAGGCAACGAUGCGUAGCCGACCUGAGAGGGUGAUCGGCCACACUGGAACUGAGACACGGUCCAGACUCCUACGGGAGGCAGCAGUAGGGAAUCUUCCGCAAAGGGCGAAAGCUUGACGGAGCAACGCCGCGUGAGUGAUGAAGGUCUUCGGAUCGUAAAACUCUGUUAUUAGGGAAGAACAAAUGUGUAAGUAACUAUGCACGUCUUGACGGUACCUAAUCAGAAAGCCACGGCUAACUACGCG